GUGCCUGCGGGUGGAGAAAGGUCCAGUCGGGUGGAGAGCACCGAGGGCCCCAGGUCCAAUGAGGAGGAAGAAAGAAGGUCCUAAUAUUUAAACGCCUGAAAAACAAGUGGUUAUUGUUUUUCUUGGGAAAUGGAAGGCCUGGAAAGCGGAACUUGGGUUCAGUGGGCCGGGCAAUAGCAAUAAGGCGGCAGUAAAUUGCAACCAAAGUCAAGAAACUCAAGCUCCUAAUUUCGGGAAAAUAUACACUGGGUUUAAAGGAAUAGCAUAGGACAUGCUGCCUAAUUUUUGACCAGUAUCUCUUAUUUUUGGUAACCUCUGAAGAAAACACCUACUACUUCGUUUUGAAAAUAGACUUUCCUUGUGAAGCUAUUAAAAUGCUCACUCACGGACACUGAAUAAAAUUCCAUUCUAUGGAUGUACCACAGUUUAUCCAUUCACCUAUUUGACGGACAUCUUGGUUGAUUCCAAGUUUGGACAAUUAUAAAUAAAGCUGCUAUAAAUAUCCACGUGCAGGUUUUUGUAUGGACAUAAAUUUUCAUGUCAUUUGGGUAAAUACCAAGGAGCGCAACUGCUGAAUCUUAAGGCUAUAUUAAUAGUGAUACUAAAUAGUGGGCUGAAUUGUGCCCCAGCAAAAGAUAAGGCCACAUCCUAAUCCAGAGAACCUGUGGCUAUUACCUUAUAAGGUAAAAGAUUGAAAACUACCUUAAAUGGCAAAAUAUGUGAUUAAGAAUUUUCAGAGGAAGAGCCUCUCCUGGAUUUUCUAGGUGGACCCUAAAUCCAGUGACAAGUGUUCUUAUAAGAGUGAGACGAAGGAAGAUAACAGACAGAAAAGGAGGAGGCAGUGUGACCACAGAGGCAGAGACUGGAGUGAUGCAGCCAUGAGUCAAGAAAUGCCAAGAGCCUCCAGAAGCUGGAAGAGGCAGAAACUGAUUCCUCCUCUACAGCCUCCAGAGGGACUGCAGCCCUGCUGACGCCUUGAUUUCAGAAUUCUGGCCUCCAAAACUACAGGAGAAUAAAUUUUGUUGUUUU